rnacentral:rRNA from 1 species
GGGUUGUGAGGUUAAGCGACUAAGCGUACACGGUGGAUGCCCUGGCAGUCAGAGGCGAUGAAGGGCGUGCUAAUCUGCGAUAAGCGCCGGUAAGGUGAUAUGAACCGUUAUAACCGGCGAUACCCGAAUGGGGAAACCCAGUGUGACUCGUCACACUAUCAUUAACUGAAUCCAUAGGUUAAUGAGGCGAACCGGGGGAACUGAAACAUCUAAGUACCCCGAGGAAAAGAAAUCAACCGAGAUUCCCCCAGUAGCGGCGAGCGAACGGGGAGGAGCCCAGAGCCUGAAUCAGCAUGUGUGUUAGUGGAAGCGUCUGGAAAGGCGCGCGAUACAGGGUGACAGCCCCGUACACAAAAGCGCAUGUGCUGUGAGCUCGAUGAGUAGGGCGGGACACGUGGUAUCCUGUCUGAAUAUGGGGGGACCAUCCUCCAAGGCUAAAUACUCCUGACUGACCGAUAGUGAACCAGUACCGUGAGGGAAAGGCGAAAAGAACCCCGGCGAGGGGAGUGAAAAAGAACCUGAAACCGUGUACGUACAAGCAGUGGGAGCCCCACCACUAAGCCAGUGGUGAACUCCACAUACGCAUCCUUUGCUGAGGAUACGGUUAACGGAGCGAAAGCGACGUUAAACCGCAAAAGAAGCAGAGGGGGCUUAGUGGUGGGGUGACUGCGUACCUUUUGUAUAAUGGGUCAGCGACUUAUAUUCUGUAGCAAGGUUAACCGAAUAGGGGAGCCGGAGGGAAACCGAGUCUUAAUUGGGCGUUAAGUUGCAGGGUAUAGACCCGAAACCCGGUGAUCUAGCCAUGGGCAGGUUGAAGGUUGGGUAACACUAACUGGAGGACCGAACCGACUAAUGUUGAAAAAUUAGCGGAUGACCUGUGGCUGGGGGUGAAAGGCCAAUCAAACCGGGAGAUAGCUGGUUCUCCCCGAAAGCUAUUUAGGUAGCGCCUCGUGAAUUCAUCUCCGGGGGUAGAGCACUGUUUCGGCUAGGGGGCCAUCCCGGCUUACCAACCCGAUGCAAACUGCGAAUACCGGAGAAUGUUAUCACGGGAGACACACGGCGGGUGCUAACGUCCGUCGUGAAGAGGGAAACAACCCAGACCGCCAGCUAAGGUCCCAAAGUCAUGGUUAAGUGGGAAACGAUGUGGGAAGGCCCAGACAGCCAGGAUGUUGGCUUAGAAGCAGCCAUCAUUUAAAGAAAGCGUAAUAGCUCACUGGUCGAGUCGGCCUGCGCGGAAGAUGUAACGGGGCUAAACCAUGCACCGAAGCUGCGGCAGCGACACUCAGGUGUUGUUGGGUAGGGGAGCGUUCUGUAAGCCUGUGAAGGUGGCCUGUGAGGGUUGCUGGAGGUAUCAGAAGUGCGAAUGCUGACAUAAGUAACGAUAAAGCGGGUGAAAAGCCCGCUCGCCGGAAGACCAAGGGUUCCUGUCCAACGUUAAUCGGGGCAGGGUGAGUCGACCCCUAAGGCGAGGCCGAAAGGCGUAGUCGAUGGGAAACGGGUUAAUAUUCCCGUACUUGGUGUUACUGCGAAGGGGGGACGGAGAAGGCUAUGUUGGCCGGGCGACGGUUGUCCCGGUUUAAGCGUGUAGGUGUGUGUUCCAGGUAAAUCCGGUUCACUUUAACACUGAGGCGUGACGACGAGGCACUACGGUGCUGAAGCAACAAAUGCCCUGCUUCCAGGAAAAGCCUCUAAGCAUCAGGUAACAUCAAAUCGUACCCCAAACCGACACAGGUGGUCAGGUAGAGAAUACCAAGGCGCUUGAGAGAACUCGGGUGAAGGAACUAGGCAAAAUGGUGCCGUAACUUCGGGAGAAGGCACGCUGACAUGUAGGUGAAGUGAUUUACUCAUGGAGCUGAAGUCAGUCGAAGAUACCAGCUGGCUGCAACUGUUUAUUAAAAACACAGCACUGUGCAAACACGAAAGUGGACGUAUACGGUGUGACGCCUGCCCGGUGCCGGAAGGUUAAUUGAUGGGGUCAGCGCAAGCGAAGCUCCUGAUCGAAGCCCCGGUAAACGGCGGCCGUAACUAUAACGGUCCUAAGGUAGCGAAAUUCCUUGUCGGGUAAGUUCCGACCUGCACGAAUGGCGUAAUGAUGGCCAGGCUGUCUCCACCCGAGACUCAGUGAAAUUGAACUCGCUGUGAAGAUGCAGUGUACCCGCGGCAAGACGGAAAGACCCCGUGAACCUUUACUAUAGCUUGACACUGAACAUUGAGCCUUGAUGUGUAGGAUAGGUGGGAGGCUUUGAAGUGUGGACGCCAGUCUGCAUGGAGCCGACCUUGAAAUACCACCCUUUAAUGUUUGAUGUUCUAACGUGGACCCGUAAUCCGGGUUGCGGACAGUGUCUGGUGGGUAGUUUGACUGGGGCGGUCUCCUCCUAAAGAGUAACGGAGGAGCACGAAGGUUGGCUAAUCCUGGUCGGACAUCAGGAGGUUAGUGCAAUGGCAUAAGCCAGCUUGACUGCGAGCGUGACGGCGCGAGCAGGUGCGAAAGCAGGUCAUAGUGAUCCGGUGGUUCUGAAUGGAAGGGCCAUCGCUCAACGGAUAAAAGGUACUCCGGGGAUAACAGGCUGAUACCGCCCAAGAGUUCAUAUCGACGGCGGUGUUUGGCACCUCGAUGUCGGCUCAUCACAUCCUGGGGCUGAAGUAGGUCCCAAGGGUAUGGCUGUUCGCCAUUUAAAGUGGUACGCGAGCUGGGUUUAGAACGUCGUGAGACAGUUCGGUCCCUAUCUGCCGUGGGCGCUGGAGAACUGAGGGGGGCUGCUCCUAGUACGAGAGGACCGGAGUGGACGCAUCACUGGUGUUCGGGUUGUCAUGCCAAUGGCACUGCCCGGUAGCUAAAUGCGGAAGAGAUAAGUGCUGAAAGCAUCUAAGCACGAAACUUGCCCCGAGAUGAGUUCUCCCUGAGACUUAAAGUCUCCUGAAGGAACGUUGAAGACGACGACGUUGAUAGGCCGGGUGUGUAAGCGCAGCGAUGCGUUGAGCUAACCGGUACUAAUGAACCGUGAGGCUUAACCUUACAACGCCGAAG